rnacentral:lncRNA from 1 species
UACAUUCAUUGUCCGUUCAUCUUCAUUACACAAGACCGAAAAGACCAAAUUAAUACAAAUUCACACAUAUGGUUCAUACACACUUAUUCUCAUAAAACAACAUAGAAGAGUUUCUACCUAAAGAAUCUAAAUGCAAAAAACAAAUGCAACCAAGAUUGCAACUAAGGUAACAAUUGAUCCAACAACAUAUUGAUACCAAGCCUCUUUAUUAAGGACAUAUUUUCUAAUCCUUCUAAUCUUCAAGCGCAUUGCAUCCAUCUUGAUCUUGUGAUCAUCGACGACAUCGGCAACGUAUAACUCCAAUAUCA